AGAGUUUGAUCCUGGCUCAGGAUGAACGCUAGCGGCAGGCUUAACACAUGCAAGUCGAGGGGCAGCGGGGAGGAAGCUUGCUUUCUCCGCCGGCGACCGGCGCACGGGUGAGUAACACGUAUGCAACCUGCCCCUGUCAGGGGGACAACCCGCCGAAAGGCGGGCUAAACCCGCGUACAUGCCACCGGGGCAUCCCGGAGGCAGGAAAGGCUUCGGCCGGACAGGGAUGGGCAUGCGGCGCAUUAGGCAGUAGGCGGGGUAACGGCCCACCUAACCGACGAUGCGUAGGGGUUCUGAGAGGAAGGUCCCCCACACUGGUACUGAGACACGGACCAGACUCCUACGGGAGGCAGCAGUGAGGAAUAUUGGUCAAUGGUCGGGAGACUGAACCAGCCAAGCCGCGUGAGGGAGGAAGGUACAGAGUAUCGUAAACCUCUUUUGUCAGGGAACAAAGGCGGGGACGUGUCCCCGGAUGAGUGUACCUGAAGAAAAAGCAUCGGCUAACUCCGUGCCAGCAGCCGCGGUAAUACGGAGGAUGCGAGCGUUAUCCGGAUUUAUUGGGUUUAAAGGGUGCGCAGGCGGUCUGUUAAGUCAGCGGUCAAAGCCCGGGGCUCAACCCCGGCCCGCCGUUGAAACUGGCAGUCUCGAGUUGGAGAGAAGUAUGCGGAAUGCGCGGUGUAGCGGUGAAAUGCAUAGAUAUCGCGCAGAACUCCGAUUGCGAAGGCAGCAUGCCGGCUCCACACUGACGCUGAGGCACGAAAGCGUGGGUAUCGAACAGGAUUAGAUACCCUGGUAGUCCACGCAGUAAACGAUGAAUGCUGGCUGUCCGGGGGGAUUGACCCCUGGGUGGCGAAGCGAAAGCGAUAAGCAUUCCACCUGGGGAGUACGCCGGCAACGGUGAAACUCAAAGGAAUUGACGGGGGCCCGCACAAGCGGAGGAACAUGUGGUUUAAUUCGAUGAUACGCGAGGAACCUUACCCGGGCUCAAACGGGGAGUGACUCAGGCAGAGACGCCUGUUUCCCACGGGACACUCCCCGAGGUGCUGCAUGGUUGUCGUCAGCUCGUGCCGUGAGGUGUCGGCUUAAGUGCCAUAACGAGCGCAACCCCCGCGUGCAGUUGCUAACAGAUAACGCUGAGGACUCUGCACGGACUGCCGGCGCAAGCCGCGAGGAAGGCGGGGAUGACGUCAAAUCAGCACGGCCCUUACGUCCGGGGCGACACACGUGUUACAAUGGGUGGUACAGCGGGAAGCCAGGCGGCGACGCCGAGCGGAACCCGAAAUCCACUCUCAGUUCGGAUCGGAGUCUGCAACCCGACUCCGUGAAGCUGGAUUCGCUAGUAAUCGCGCAUCAGCCAUGGCGCGGUGAAUACGUUCCCGGGCCUUGCACUCACAGCCCGUCA
rnacentral:rRNA from 1 species